AUGCUGGCCCCCCUGGGCCUGCUUCAAGCUAUAGAAGAUGGGACUAAGCUACUUUUUAAAGAAGAUAUUCUGCCAUCCCGAGGAGAUAUUUCUUUAUUUAGCAUUGGACCCUCUAUAGCGGUCAUAUCAGUUUUUUUAAGUUUUUUAGUUAUCCCUUUGGGAUAUCAUUUUGUUUUAGCCGAUCUUAGUAUUGGUGUUUUUUUAUGGAUUGCCAUUUCAAGUAUAGCUCCUAUUGGUCUUCUUAUGGCAGGAUAUAGCUCAAAUAAUAAAUAUUCUUUUUUAGGCGGUCUACGAGCUGCUGCUGAAUCCAUUAGUUAUGAAAUACCAUUAACUUUUUAUGUGCUAGCAAUAUCUCUACGUGUGAUUCGUUAA
rnacentral:rRNA from 1 species